rnacentral:misc_RNA from 1 species
CAGAAAGAGUUUGAGGAUAAACAUCGAGAAUUGCAGCAGUUGGCAUCACAAUAUCAACAACAGUUGAAAACUCUUGAGGUGAAUAACUAUGCAUUGAUGAUGCAUUUGAGACAGGCCCAGCAAAGCAGCCCAAUCCCAGGACGUUUCCAUCCUGAUGUCUUUUAGUAAAAGAUAUAAACCGAAACAUGAUGAUAUGUCUACCAAAUACGUGCUUUGUUUCAACUGCAUUCUGAGUUGAGUUUGCCAUAGGUUGUGAUUGUUAAGCAAGUAAAGGUUGCCGUAUAUGUUUCCCAAUUCAAUGGAUAUGGAGGCCACUAGCCUAGUGUGGCAUUUUACAAAGAAAGGC